CAAAAUCACUUGACUACAUCAGCCUGAGGAGGGGUAAUCACAUAAGGUUUCAUAGAGUAGGAGGCUGGACUGCAUUAAAGGUGCCAACAGCAAUAUCAGUUUUCAGGGACAGAAAGGAUUUUAGGUCUUCAGCAUACGCUGUUCUACCACCCCCUUGGAUUUAUUAUUUUUCCAUUGGAUUUGACAUUAUGCUGAAUUGAUGCGUUGAAGACUAAGAAGGUUUUGAAGAAAGUCUUUUUGCUGGCUUGUGCUUUUUGCUGCUGUUACACUACAUUACACUACACCCCCUUCCUCCACUAAAAAGGAACAAAUGGCCUGCUUAUCAGCUGCCUGCGUCUCCGCAGGCUGACACGUGGGCAGAUGUGUUGCAUCCUGUGUUUCUGAUGCGACGCCUGGACACCCCAGCCGGCUGAUGGGCAGGUGCACUGUGUGCCCCAGCUUGGCUCUGGUGCCACUGACUGCCCUGCUCUGCGGUGGCAGGGUGCUGGGUGUGCCCCUGAAGUCAGUGUCUGGAGGUGGCAAACAUCCCCUCAACAUCCCCAUGCAGUACAGCAGCAGCCAGGCUAACAUCAGGCAGGAGCCCUGAACGGAGGGAGGCAGGCGAGGAUGCGGAAGCAGCUGGGCACCUCUUACUCCACGACAGGAACACCUGUUUCUAACUGCAGAUUGCUUAGAAAUCCAGUUUUUCCAAAAAGUCAUUUUAAUUGCACCAUGGGUGUUCUCCAUUUAAAGACACGGGAUGUGAUGGGGGAGGGGAGGGGAGUGGUGCUGGUUCAGUCUUUGGUGAGAGAAAAAACUAUUUUUACUGAUAGAGAUAUUAGCUCCUCCCAAUUCUUGCUUAAAUUAUCCAACUCUUGGGUUAUAUAUGUGCUUUUUAGUGGCAGCAUAGCUGCAGUCUGCAGGAUCUCUCAAGAAAGGGUCUUCCUCAAAGGGCGAAUCUCCUGGCAGGGGGGCGUUUACUGCCUGCUGUCCCGCUCUGAGCAACAGCCGGCCGCCCUGCUGGCCACUCUCCGUACCUGGAAGCCGGCUCUGAGUUUGGCGAAUGCUCAGUCUUCUCCGGUGGGCCAGGGUUCCCGUCUGCUGCUUCCAUUUCAGAUGGAGUCUCUCUCUUGUCGCCAGCCUGGAGUGCAGUGACACGAUCUCAGCUCACUGCAACCUCCCUCUCCCAGGUUCAAGCGAUCCUUCUGCCUCAGCCUCCCAAGUAGAUGGGACUACAGGUAUGUGCUACCACACCCAGCUAGUUUUUUAUAUUUUUAGUAGAGACAGGUUUUCACCAUUUGGU
rnacentral:lncRNA from 13 species